AUUGAACGCUGGCGGCAGGCCUAACACAUGCAAGUCGAGCGGAUGAAGGGAGCUUGCUCCUGGAUUCAGCGGCGGACGGGUGAGUAAUGCCUAGGAAUCUGCCUGGUAGUGGGGGAUAACGUCCGGAAACGGGCGCUAAUACCGCAUACGUCCUGAGGGAGAAAGUGGGGGAUCUUCGGACCUCACGCUAUCAGAUGAGCCUAGGUCGGAUUAGCUAGUUGGUGGGGUAAAGGCCUACCAAGGCGACGAUCCGUAACUGGUCUGAGAGGAUGAUCAGUCACACUGGAACUGAGACGCGGUCCAGACUCCUACGGGAGGCAGCAGUGGGGAAUAUUGGACAAUGGGCGAAAGCCUGAUCCAGCCAUGCCGCGUGUGUGAAGAAGGUCUUCGGAUUGUAAAGCACUUUAAGUUGGGAGGAAGGGCAGUAAGUGAAUACAUUGAUGUUUCGACGUUACCAACAGAAUAAGCACCGGCUAACUUCGUG
rnacentral:rRNA from 1 species